UACGUAGGGGGCUAGCGUUGUCCGGAAUCAUUGGGCGUAAAGAGCGUGUAGGCGGCCCGGUAAGUCCGCUGUAAAAGUCAAAGGCUCAACCUUUGAAUGUCAGUGGAUACUGCCGGGCUAGAGUCCGGAAGAGGCGAGUGGAACUCCUGGUGUAGCGGUGGAAUGCGCAGAUAUCAGGAAGAACACCAACGGCGAAGGCAGCUCGCUGGGACGUCACUGACGCUGAGACGCGAAAGCGUGGGGAGCAAACAGG
rnacentral:rRNA from 1 species